GUGUUCGCUUCAGCAGCACAUACACUAAAAUUGGAAUGAUACAGAAAAGAUUAGCAUGGCUGCUACGCAAGAAUGACAUGCAAAUUCAUGAAGCGAAAAAAUUAAAA